rnacentral:hammerhead_ribozyme from 1 species
AUCCAGCUGACGAGUCUUAAAUGGGACGAAACGCGCAUCCUGGAU